AGUGGCGGACGGGUGAGUAACGCGUGAGAAUCUGCCUCAAGGAUGGGGACAACAGUUGGAAACGACUGCUAAUACCCAAUAUGCCUAUUUGGUGAAAUUAUUUAGCCUUGAGAGGAGCUCGCGUCCGAUUAGUUAGUUGGUGGGGUAAAGGCCUACCAAGGCAGCGAUCGGUAGCUGGUCUGAGAGGAUGAGCAGCCACACUGGGACUGAGACACGGCCCAGACUCCUACGGGAGGCAGCAGUGGGGAAUUUUCCGCAAUGGGCGAAAGCCUGACGGAGCAAUACCGCGUGAGGGAGGAAGGUUUUUGGAUUGUAAACCUCUUUUUUAAAGGAAGAAGAAAGUGACGGUACUUUAAGAAUAAGCAUCGGCUAACUCCGUGCCAGCAGCCGCGGUAAUACGGAGGAUGCAAGCGUUAUCCGGAAUCAUUGGGCGUAAAGCGUCCGCAGGUGGCGAAUCAAGUCUGCUGUUAAAGACAGAAGCUCAACUUCUGAACAGCGGUGGAAACUGGUUUGCUAGAGUAUGGUAGGGGUUGAGGGAAUUCCCAGUUAGCGGUGAAAUGCGUAGAUAUUGGGAAGAACACCAGUGGCGAAGGCGCUCAACUGGGCCAUAACUGACACUCAGGGACGAAAGCUAGGGUAGCGAAAGGGAUUAGAUACCCC
rnacentral:rRNA from 1 species